CAUUGAUGUGGUUUAAAGGGAAUCACAUUUUCAUUCUCAAUUCAAUUAUAGAUACAAUAUUGUUGGGCCAAUAGAAUUUUGUUUCAAUAUUUAUGAGAAUACACAAUUUAACGUCCAUUGACCAUCCAACUAAUAGAAUCUAAAUAACUACUUGAUACCUUUGUUAACUCUUUGCUUGCUUUAAGUUCAAAAUUUUCUUUAGGAAUUUCCUGUGUAUAAAAUGUAGGUUUUGGAGGCAUUUCUAGGCAUUCAAUGUCACUUUCAAGCAUUUCUACGACUUUAUGCAUUGAAGGACGGUCAGCAGGUUUCAGUUGUAUACACCAUAAUGCUACUAUAAGCAUCUUCUUUGUUAUUUUCCUUUCCUCUUCUGUAGCACCUCCUAAUUCUAUGUCUUUUCCUGCAUUAAAUUGGUCAUAAACCCAUGAAGGAUAGUAUAUUUGGCUCAAAUGCUCAUCAGAUGCAUUGAAAUUCUUCCUUCUACCAGCCAUU
rnacentral:misc_RNA from 1 species